AGGACUUAGUGGCGAACGGGUGAGUAACACGUAGGUAACCUGCCCAUGUACCCGGGAUAACAAAGGGAAACGUUUGCUAAAACCGGAUGAAUAAAUAGGAGGCAUCUCCUAAUUAUAAAAGCACCUAUGGGUGUGGACAUGGAUGGACCUGCGGCGUAUUAGCCAGUUGGCGGGGUAACGGCCCACCAAAGCGAUGAUACGUAGCCGGCCUGAGAGGGUAAACGGCCACACUGGGACUGAGACACGGCCCAGACUCCUACGGGAGGCAGCAG
rnacentral:rRNA from 1 species